rnacentral:sRNA from 1 species
AUGUAAAUGCAAUCUGGUUGGGACAGCUCUUACCCCAAGGAUCACCGAGGCUGAGUCAGCAGAUCAGGCUGACUAGACAAGUGUCCCCAUCCUCCUUUAUGGCU